UACAGAGGUCUCAAGCGUUGUCCGGAAUCACUGGGCGUAAAGGGCGCGUAGGUGGCGCGACAAGUCAACGGUGAAAGCUCGGCGCUCAACGCCGAGUCGGCCGUCGAUACUGUUGGGCUUGAGCACUGUAGAGGCUAAUGGAAUUCCGGGUGUAGCGGUGGAAUGCGUAGAGAUCCGGAAGAACACCGGUGGCGAAGGCGGUUAGCUGGGCAGUUGCUGACACUGAGGCGCGACAGCGUGGGGAGCAAACAGG
rnacentral:rRNA from 1 species